rnacentral:lncRNA from 1 species
ACGAUUACCCUUGACGACCUCAGCAACAGUAGGAGAUGAAUGCUCAGAUACAGCUACAUCAGAGAACUGCAAUCUUCGCACAGCAAGACUUGCAGGAGCUUCAUCAAUUACCACCGGAGGAGGCACAACAUUCCCAACUUCAUCUGCAUGCUUAACAUCGAUCAAUUGGAAUUUUUUAGGAAGGAAGUUGCCAAACGUUAGUGGUUCUAGUUCUUUAGUCACACCCGGUGCUGGUGUAACAAUUUGGGCAGUGGUAACGGUCGGUUGUCGCCGGCGACGAGCCAUUAUCAGCGAGAAAGCUUCGUGCUAACUUACA